rnacentral:rRNA from 1 species
AACGAACGCUGGCGGCAUGCCUAACACAUGCAAGUCGAACGAGACCUUCGGGUCGAGUGGCGCACGGGUGCGUAACGCGUGGGAACCUGCCCUUAGGUUCGGAAUAACUCCCCGAAAGGGGUGCUAAUACCGGAUAAUGUCUUCGGACCAAAGAUUUAUCGUCUUUGGAUGGGCCCGCGUUGGAUUAGCUAGUUGGUAGGGUAAAAGCCUACCAAGGCGACGAUCCAUAGCUGGUCUGAGAGGAUGAUCAGCCACACUGGGACUGAGACACGGCCCAGACUCCUACGGGAGGCAGCAGUGGGGAAUAUUGGACAAUGGGCGAAAGCCUGAUCCAGCAAUGCCGCGUGAGUGAUGAAGGCCUUAGGGUUGUAAAGCUCUUUUACCCGGGAUGAUAAUGACAGUACCGGGAGAAUAAGCUCCGGCUAACUCCGUG